AUGCAAUCCUCGGCAGUGUCCUGAGACUGCGU
rfam:Ixodes scapularis strain Wikel colony gcontig_1108379572158, whole genome shotgun sequence.